GGUUAAAAAGCUCGUAGUUGGAUUUCUGUUGAGGGACGUCGGUCCGCACUAUGUGCGUGUAUCUGACUGUGCCUCGGCAUCCUCUCGAAUAUCGGUCUGCGCUUCAUUGCGUGGGUCGGACUUCGGGACUUUUACUUUGAGGAAAUUAGAGUGUUCACGGCAGGCAAGCGCCCUGAAUAUAUUAGCAUGGAAUAAUGAUAUAGGAUCUUGGUCCUAUUUUGUUGGUUUCUAGGGCUAAGAUAAUGAUUAAUAGGGACAAUUGGGGGCAUUCGUAUUAACGCGUCAGAGGUGGAAUUCUUGGAUUGCGUUACGACGAACUACUGCGAAAGCAUUUGCCAAGGAUGUUUUCAUUGAUCAAGAACGAAAGUAAGGGGAUCGAAGAC
rnacentral:rRNA from 1 species